rnacentral:rRNA from 1 species
CCUACGGGAGGCAGCAGUGGGGAAUAUUGCACAAUGGGCGAAAGCCUGAUGCAGCAACGCCGCGUGAAGGAAGACGGUUUUCGGAUUGUAAACUUCUAUCAAUAGGGAAGAAAGAAAUGACGGUACCUAAAUAAGAAGCCCCGGCUAACUACGUGCCAGCAGCCGCGGUAAUACGUAGGGGGCAAGCGUUAUCCGGAAUUACUGGGUGUAAAGGGAGAGUAGGCGGCAAGGUAAGCGAUAUGUGAAAGCCUUAAGCUUAACUAAAGGAUUGCAUAACGAACUAUUAGACUAGAGUGCAGGAGGGGUAAGUGGAAUUCCUAGUGUAGCGGUGGAAUGCGUAGAUAUUAGGAGGAACAUCAGGGGCGAAGGCGACUUACUGGACUGUAACUGACACUGAGGCACGAAAGCGUGGGGAGCAAACAGGAUUAGAUACCCCUGUAGUC